rnacentral:rRNA from 1 species
GAUCCUGGCUCAGGAUGAACGCUAGCGACAGGCUUAACACAUGCAAGUCGAGGGGCAGCAUAGAAGUAGCAAUACUCGGUGGCGACCGGCGCACGGGUGAGUAACGCGUAUGCAACCUACCUAUCAGAGGGGAAUAACCCGGCGAAAGUCGGACUAAUACCGCAUAAAACAGGGGCACCGCAUGGUGAUAUUUGUUAAAGAAAUUCGCUGAUAGAUGGGCAUGCGUUCCACUAGGUAGUUGGUGAGGUAACGGCUCACCAAGCCGACGAUGGAUAGGGGAACUGAGAGGUUGGUCCCCCACACUGGUACUGAGACACGGACCAGACUCCUACGGGAGGCAGCAGUGAGGAAUAUUGGUCAAUGGGCGGGAGCCUGAACCAGCCAAGUCGCGUGAAGGAAGAAGGAUCUAUGGUUCGUAAACUUCUUUUGCAGGGGAAUAAAGUGCAGGACGUGUCCUGUUUUGUAUGUACCCUGAGAAUAAGGAUCGGCUAACUCCGUGCCAGCCGCGGC